rnacentral:rRNA from 1 species
UGGGGAAUCUUGGACAAUGGGCGAAAGCCUGAUCCAGCGACGCCGCGUGACUGAUGAAGCCUUUCGGGGUGUAAAAGUCUUUCGGCAGGGACAAUAAUGAUGGUACCUGCAGAAGCAGCUGCGGCUAACUACGUGCCAGCAGCCGCGGUAAUACGUAGGCAGCUAGCGUUGUUCGGAAUUACUGGGCGUAAAGCGAGUGUAGGCGGUUUGCCAAGUCCGUUGUGAAAUCUCCCGGCUCAACUGGGAGGGUGCGGCGGAAACUGGCAGGCUAGAGUGCGGAAUGGGAGAGUGGAAUUCCUGGUGUAGCGGUGAAAUGCGUAGAUAUCAGGAGGAACACCGGUGGUGAAGACGGCUCUCUGGACCGCUACUGACGCUGAGACUCGAAAGCGUGGGGAGCAAACAGG